UCUGUGAGAAUACCUAGUCUUCUGGCCCCAGGACAGUUUCUCAGACCUAGAACUCCCAGAGAAGCUGGCCUCAUGGGACUCUAGGGAGAACACUGUGGGGAGGAAGGUGUUGAAACAGAGAGGCGGGCGGGCAGCAGAGGAGCGAAAUGGAGGAUCCCUUUCAAAAUAAAUGUCAUCCAGCAGGACAAGGCUCACAGCUUCUGGAUUGGGCUCCCUUCGUUCACCUCUUGGGCCCCUCCUACCCCUGCCCUUUGGAUCCAUGAUACCCUCUUACUUUCCAUCUGCAAAGAGGCGGAGGAUCUCCGGAAAGGAGCUACCUAGCUCCUGGCUGGCUCUGCAAGUAUUUCCCAGUUUCCCUCCCUUGCCUGUGUCUCCAAACCUGUCUGACCAGAGCGGGUGGGGCCCAGAUUAAAGGCGCAGGCCCUGCCCUACAGAAUCUGCCUACUGGAAGGACUCUACAGGAGGACGUCAUCCUUUUUGAAAGUAAGGGUGCAGCUGGGCACAGAGGUGUGGACUUAAUGUAUUCUGGGAUCUGUAAGAGCUUCCAGCUCAGGGAAGCAUCAGGGUAUAAAAGUGGGUUUGUGUAUCAAAGGGUGCUCAGAGUAAAUUGGCUAAAAGAUGACACUGCAAGUUUGUUCAUCCAGUAAAUGUUUAUUGGGUAUCUAUUAUUAAUGAGGCGCUAUUUCUAUGGUGGUACAAGCCUUUAAUCCCAGCACAUGAGGCAGAGGCAGGCAGAUUUCUGAGUCUGAAGCCAGGCUGGUCCAGCAGCCAGAGUUAUGUAGAGACACUCUCUCUCUCUCUCUCUCUCUCUCUCUCUCUCUCUCUCUCUCUCACACACACACACACACACACACUCCAACAAACAAAAAAAGUGCUAGUCUAGGCACAUGUACAGAAAAGAACAAAGUGACAAGGUUUCUAGCUGUUCAGGUAACCAACAUUAAAGUUCACACCAAAUCAGUAGUAGAAUUUCAGUAGUGAGAGCCUCUUUAGGGUGACUCUGAAGCUGAAACCCAGUGGAAGUUCCCUGUAGAGGAACAGCGCAGCCAACAGAUGGAAAAAGACUUGAGGCAGUUUGAGGAAUAGAAAGGAGACUUGGUGGCUGGAGCCAGGAGCAUAGUGGUAUAUACAUUGCCAUUAUAAUGUGNNNNNNNNNNGAGAGAGAGAGAGAGAGAGAGAGAGAGAGAGAGAGAGAGAGAGAGAGAGAGAGAGAGAGUGAACCCCAAAGAUCUGCCUUAUAGUUUGGAAAACAAUAGGGCUGACAAGAUGGCUCACCAAGCCUGACUACCUGAGUCUGAUUCCCCAGAGAACCACACUUUAAAAGAAAACUGACUCUCCCAAGUUCUCUGGCCACGUGUAUGUUGUAUGCAUGCACCCACAAAAUAUAAAUAAAUAACUCUCUGGGGAAGAAUUCCUUUAAAAA
rnacentral:lncRNA from 1 species